CCUACGGGAGGCAGCAGUAGGGAAUCUUCGGCAAUGGACGGAAGUCUGACCGAGCAACGCCGCGUGAGUGAAGAAGGUUUUCGGAUCGUAAAGCUCUGUUGUAAGAGAAGAACGAGUGUGAGAGUGGAAAGUUCACACUGUGACGGUAUCUUACCAGAAAGGGACGGCUAACUACGUGCCAGCAGCCGCGGUAAUACGUAGGUCCCGAGCGUUGUCCGGAUUUAUUGGGCGUAAAGCGAGCGCAGGCGGUUAGAUAAGUCUGAAGUUAAAGGCUAUGGCUUAACCAUAGUAGGCUUUGGAAACUGUUUAACUUGAGUGCAAGAGGGGAGAGUGGAAUUCCAUGUGUAGCGGUGAAAUGCGUAGAUAUAUGGAGGAACACCGGUGGCGAAAGCGGCUCUCUGGCUUGUAACUGACGCUGAGGCUCGAAAGCGUGGGGAGCAAACAGGAUUAGAUACCCGAGUAGUC
rnacentral:rRNA from 1 species